UACGUAGGGCGCAAGCGUUGUCCGGAAUUAUUGGGCGUAAAGAGCUCGUAGGCGGCUUGUCACGUCGGAUGUGAAAGCCCGGGGCUUAACUCCGGGUCUGCAUUCGAUACGGGCUAGCUAGAGUGUGGUAGGGGAGAUCGGAAUUCCUGGUGUAGCGGUGAAAUGCGCAGAUAUCAGGAGGAACACCGGUGGCGAAGGCGGGUCUCUGGGCAACAACUGACGCUGAGGAGCGAAAGCGUGGGGAGCGAACAGG
rnacentral:rRNA from 1 species